rnacentral:lncRNA from 1 species
UAUUUAGUGGUAGCUAGAUUCUUUUUUAGUUACUUAGUGGUAGAUUCUGUUUUUUUGUUGUUUAGUGCUAUCUAGGUUUAGCGAUAGGUUUAGUUAGCUUGGUUAGUUAGGUUACUUAGUUAGUUAUCUUAAUAGAAAGAAUAGGAAGAAGAAGAAGAGGAGGGGAAGGAGAAGAGGAGAAGAGAAGGAGGAGGAGAAGAAGAAGAAGAAGAAGAAGAAGAAGAAGAAGAAGAAGAAGAAGAGGAGAAGACAAAAAUAAGAAGGAGAAGAAGAAAAGAAGAUGA